AGCAGAUCAAGAGCCGGGUGGUAG
rnacentral:piRNA from 1 species